AGAACGAACGCUGGCGGCAUGCCUAACACAUGCAAGUCGAACGAUCACUUCGGUGAUAGUGGCGCACGGGUGCGUAACGCGUGGGAAUCUGCCCUUAGGUACGGAAUAACUCAGGGAAACUUGUGCUAAUACCGUAUGAUGUCGCGAGACCAAAGAUUUAUCGCCUAAGGAUGAGCCCGCGUAGGAUUAGCUAGUUGGUGAGGUAAAGGCUCACCAAGGCUACGAUCCUUAGCUGGUCUGAGAGGAUGAUCAGCCACACUGGGACUGAGACACGGCCCAGACUCCUACGGGAGGCAGCAGUGGGGAAUAUUGGACAAUGGGCGCAAGCCUGAUCCAGCAAUGCCGCGUGAGUGAUGAAGGCCUUAGGGUUGUAAAGCUCUUUUACCCGGGAAGAUAAUGACUGUACCGGGAGAAUAAGCCCGGCUAACUCCGUGCCAGCAGCCGC
rnacentral:rRNA from 1 species